UUAAGAAAAUAAUUGAAUGGUAGCCUUAGUGGAUAUCCUGAGAGAUGGUGGACGGACUGGGUGCAUAAGAAACCUUACCAUGAACAUUGCCUCAUACCGAACGGGGCAUCAAGAAUUGGUAUUUUGGUGCUCAUACCGGACAGGGUAUGGGAACGACCUGUUUCACCCUCAUACCAGACGGAGUAUUGAGGGAUAGUAUUUUGACGCUCAUACCGGACGGAGUAUUGAGAAAUGGUAUUUUUGGCGCUCAUACCAGACGGGGUAUGGGGACGGCCGAUUACUUAAAAAUGUUAAAUAAGAGUUCACGCGUAGUGGGGACAUCUCUAUGGACUGCAAUGGAUACUAGUAGGCAGAUAAAAAGGGAAAGUUAUUCUGGUUAAU
rnacentral:lncRNA from 1 species